CAGAGUUCAUGCCCCUCGGGGUAGAUCUCCCACCCUUGUGUAUCAUUAUAAAAAUGUUGCUUUGGCGGGCCGCGUGCCUAGCACGCCUGGAUUCGCAUCCGGCGUGCCCGCCAGAGGACCCAAACUCUGAAUGUUAGUGUCGUCUGAGUACUAUACAAUAGUUA
rnacentral:misc_RNA from 1 species